UGGGGAAUUUUGGACAAUGGGCGCAAGCCUGAUCCAGUCAUGCCGCGUGCGGGAAGAAGGCCUUCGGGUUGUAAACCGCUUUUGUCAGGGAAGAAAUCUUCUGAGUUAAUACCUCGGGAGGAUGACGGUACCUGAAGAAUAAGCACCGGCUAACUACGUGCCAGCAGCCGCGGUAAUACGUAGGGUGCAAGCGUUAAUCGGAAUUACUGGGCGUAAAGCGUGCGCAGGCGGUUUUGUAAGACAGAGGUGAAAUCCCCGGGCUCAACCUGGGAACUGCCUUUGUGACUGCAAGGCUUGAGUGCGGCAGAGGGGGGAUGGAAUUCCGCGUGUAGCAGUGAAAUGCGUAGAUAUGCGGAGGAACACCGAUGGCGAAGGCAAUCCCCUGGGCCUGCACUGACGCUCAUGCACGAAAGCGUGGGGAGCAAACAGGAUUAGAUACCCUGGUAGUCCACGCCCUAAACGAUGUCAACUGGUUGUUGGGAAGGUUCCUUCUCAGUAACGUAGCUAACGCGUGAAGUUGACCGCCUGGGGAGUACGGCCGCAAGGUUGAAAC
rnacentral:rRNA from 1 species